rnacentral:lncRNA from 1 species
GUUUUUUAAUUUUCAAAGUGGGGAAUUACGAAUCUUCAUUUCUCCUUUUAGGAGAACUAAAAAUGUUAAGGUAUUCGUCACCAAGGGUGAAUGAAUACUUAGAGAUUGUGAAAGUAGCUUAAGUUUUUUGGUGAAUAUAAGGAAAUAAAACAUACUUUUGCUAAGCCUCCUUCAGACUUCCCUUUAGGACUGUUGUGCUGGCCUGGUAGGUAGUAUUUUGUCUGGCUUAAGCCACUAGAUUGGUGGGAGCAGGUCUUGAUUGGCCUUAUUUUGGGUGAAUGAGUGACACAGGACAUGCCUCCUGCCAUGUUUUCAAUUUAGGAGGCUGCUCAUAGAGGCCUUGAAUGCCAGCCCAAGGAUGAAUAAAUUAAUAGUAGACUUCAUUAUUUAAAUUUACUGCUAUAAAUUUCAAAUAUCAAAUAUUAGGUCGCUGGUGAAUUAUUAGCCAUUCUCUUUUUUUUUUCAAUAUAUGAAGUUUAUUGUCAAAUUGGUUUCCAUACAACACCCAGUGCUCAUCCCAAAAUGUGCCCUCCUCAAUACCCAUCACCCACCCUCCCCGCCCUCCCACCCCCCAUCAACCGUCCGUUUGUUCUCAGUUUUUAAGAGUCUCUUAUGCUUUGGCUCUCUCCCACUUUAACCUCCUUUUUUUUUUUUCCUUCCCCUCCCCCAUGGGUUUCUGUUAAGUUUCUCAGGAUCCACAUAAGAGUGAGAACAUAUUGCCAUUCUCUAAAUAAUAAGAACUAAUUUUUAUUAAUGAGGGUUUAAAAUAGGUAAACUAUGUAAUUCCUUAAUCUAAUCCCAAUGCAAUGAAAUAAGUAAUACAUGUGAGUCCACACCACUUUGAUCAUAUUCUUGACACAUUCUACUUCUUUGGUCACCUCUAUUAUUAUGAAAUAAUCAGUUUGUCAUAUGGCAUAUAAUAAAAUUGACUGUGACUCUUCCUUCCAGCAAAAUACAUGUAUUUCACUUUUUCUACUUGUCCUCUUCUCUCCCUCCAGAUCUUCCAACAUUCAUGAAAUGUUAUGUAGAAUGGGAAGGAUAGAUUUUCCAUUCAGCUACACACUUUAUAAGAGUGGAUUUGUGUCCUGGAGCGAGCAGAGCUGCAUUUAA